GAAGGUGGUGGUGGAGAGGCCUCGUCCCGCGCCUUCGAGCAGGGCAAAGACAGAAUAGAAAAUGCCUUCUGGACUGGAGCGAGACCUUCCCUUUGCUCCUGCCAUUGCAGCUGGUUCGGUUGACAAAUUUCUGGAGUGGGUUGCCUUCCCCGGGGAGUUAAUGCUUGUUGAGGGGCGAAUUCGACCUAAAGCUCGGAUCUGUGCCAUCCGUGGCAGACAAAGUCUCCGGCAAGUGAUGCCGGUUCUUGUUCUUGCAUUGUAGAUUCCUUCGCCUUUGAGGUUUUGGCGGGGAGUCGUCGAACUAUUCGCAGGAUAUUCGCUGUGGUGAUUAGGUGACGGAUCAGGUCUAGGUUUCUGCGAUUUGGGGCGGACGAUUAGCGCCGGCUUGUGUUCUUCAUCAUUUUAGGGUUUGGUGCAGGUUGCUUGUCUUCUUCAUGUGCGAUUGGCCUCAAAGUACGGACUUGCGAGUCCUUGAGGAGUUUUAGGGUUCUUGUGACUCUUAUCGAAGCUUAUAGAGAACAGAAAAAUGUUGAAGGCCUACGCUUUGUGCCUGCAAGUUGGCUUACUGAGAUUUCAGAGUACUCUGAGGGGAUCAGUUGUUCUUGCCAACAUCUUUGGGGCGUCCAGUUUGAUUGAGAUUUCUUGAGCAUGGCCUGCAAAAAAUUGAGAUCAAAAGGUGAUCUCUUUCAACGACAAGAGCAAGCCUGGUUCUGCACAGCUGGACUUCCGAGUGAUCUUACUGUUGAAGUCAGAGAGAUGUCCUUCCAUCUUCAUAAGUUUCCUCUUAUGUCAAAGAGUGGUCUUUUCGAAAAGCUUGUCGAGGAGAACUUUGAUUAACAAGAGAAUUGUGUCGUAAGCUACAUGAUAUUCCUGGUGGGAUCAAAGCAUUUGAACUAGUAGCAAAGUUUUGUUAUGGUGUGAAGUUGGAACUCACUGCCUCAAAUGUUGUCUACCUACGUUGUGCUGCUGAACAUCUUCAGAUGACUGAGAAAAUAGCAGAGGGCAACUCGAUUGCACAGACAGAGAUCUUUUUUAAUCAAGUAGCGCUUUGUGGUAGGAAAGACCUGAUAAAAGCACUCCAAACAUGUGAUGAUCUUCUUCCUCAUGCAGAAGACCUUAGAUCAUCAAGAGACAGCAUUGAUUCUUUAGAGGCGAAAGCUUUCGCAGAUCCUAAUCCUUUUUGCUGUCCUAUGAUGGAGUAUGCCAUGGUGCAAAGCCCUUGAAGAAGGGAGGAUGAGGCUGUCGGAGCUCGAAAAGGAAUGCACAAGUAUGAGACAGGAUAUUGAGAAGUUGGGCAAGGGGAGGAGAGUGUUGAUUGGUGUCCAAAAGAAGUUGGGAUUCAGGAUCAAGUCCCAGUUGUGCGGUGCUAAGCGUGAAUCUGUUAGAGAUCAUCAAAAGGGAGACAAGAAGACUGAAAAGUUUUCAACAAAGAACACAAGACAAAGGAAUCAAGCGGCUGCAGAUCCAUGGACUUGCACUGGCUCGGGUUAACCAGUUUGUUACACUAGCAACAGUGAGUCUACGGUUUGUCUCUCAGAUAGUAAAAUUAUGGUCGACUUGAUACUGGUUUAAAAUGUCUUUGUAGUUCGUAACUGAUUACGAUGUAAGAAUUAUUGGUGGAAGAAGAAUAUAUUCCCUUGGAAA